UUAGCGUAUUAGCUAUGUAGCUAACCGGUCAUGUUAGCACAUUAGCUUACAAAAUAGCUUUCAAUUGUAGUUGGCUAAUUAGCCGGCAAAUAUGUUUGGUACAGAACCGUGUGUAUUAGUAGCCAGCCGACUUAACUACCGCUAGUUACCUAGCUAAUAUUACAUACGCAUGGUCUGUCGAUCAUCA